GAUGAACGCUGGCGGCGUGCCUAAUACAUGCAAGUCGAGCGAACGGACGAGAAGCUUGCUUCUCUGAUGUUAGCGGCGGACGGGUGAGUAACACGUGGAUAACCUACCUAUAAGACUGGGAUAACUUCGGGAAACCGGAGCUAAUACCGGAUGAUAUUUUGAACCGCAUGGUUCAAAAGUGAAAGACGGUCUUGCUGUCACUUAUAGAUGGAUCCGCGCUGCAUUAGCUAGUUGGUAAGGUAACGGCUUACCAAGGCAACGAUGCAUAGCCGACCUGAGAGGGUGAUCGGCCACACUGGAACUGAGACACGGUCCAGACUCCUACGGGAGGCAGCAGUAGGGAAUCUUCCGCAAAGGGCGAAAGCCUGACGGAGCAACGCCGCGUGAGUGAUGAAGGUCUUCGGAUCGUAAAACUCUGUUAUUAGGGAAGAACAUAUGUGGAAGUAACUGUGCACAUCUUGACGGUACCUAAUCAGAAAGCCACGGCUAACUACGUG
rnacentral:rRNA from 1 species